rnacentral:rRNA from 1 species
UUCGAUGGGGUGGAUCCCAAAUGGUGGAAACAACAGUGUGAAAAGUACUUCCGGAUGUACAAUGUGCAGCAGAAAUUAUGGGUCGAUUUUGCAACAAUGCAUUUUGCAGGCAAUGCAGCUCGUUGGCUUCAGACUUACGAAGCCAUGCACACAGUCGACAGUUGGGCAGCCUUGUGUGUUGCAGUGUUCGCCAAAUUCAACAGAAACAAAUACACCAGAGAUAUUGAUGUAUUCUUUGCACUGAAACAAACUGACACAGUGGAUGAGUAUGCCCAUCUCUUCGAGGAGCACAUGCACAAGAUGUUGGUUUACAAUCAGUCUUAUGAUGAGACCUUCAUUAACCGCUUUGUUCAAGAUCUCAAACCAGCUAUAAGAGCACCUGUGAAGCUGCUGCAGCCAAGCACAGUGGAUUUGACUUACUCAUUGGCACAAACACAAGAGGCACUCCUAGUGGAAGACAACUAA